AUUGAACGCUGGCGGAAUGCUUUACACAUGCAAGUCGAACGGCAGCACGGACUUCGGUCUGGUGGCGAGUGGCGAACGGGUGAGUAAUGUAUCGGAACGUGCCCAGUCGUGGGGGAUAACGUAGUGAAAAUUACGCUAAUACCGCAUACGAUCUAUGGAUGAAAGCGGGGGAUCGCAAGACCUCGCGCGAUUGGAGCGGCCGAGAUCAGAUUAGGUAGUUGGUGGGGUAAAGGCCCACCAAGCCAACGAUCUGUAGCUGGUCUGAGAGGACGACCAGCGACACUGGGACUGCGACACGGUCCAGACUCCUACGGGAGGCAGCAUGGGGUAAUGUUGGACAAUGAGCGAAAGCCUGAUCCAGCCAUUCCGCGUACAGGAUGAAGGCCCUCGGGUUGUAAACUGCUUUUGUACAGAACGAAAAGGUUUCUACUAAUACUAGGAGCUCAUGACGGUACUGUAAGAAUAAGCACCGGCUAACUACGUGCCAGCCGCCGCGGUAA
rnacentral:rRNA from 1 species